rnacentral:rRNA from 1 species
CACGAACCGUGCGAACGUUAUUCGGAAUUACUGGGCUUAAAGAGUUCGUAGGCGGCGUGUUAAGUUGGGUGUGAAAUCCCUUGGCUCAACCAAGGAAUUGCGCUCAAAACUAGCAUGCUUGAGGAAGACAGGGGUAAGCGGAACUGAUGGUGGAGCGGUGAAAUGCGUAGAUAUCAUCAGGAACACCGGAGGCGAAGGCGGUCCACUGGGUCCUUUCUGACGCUGAGGGACGAAAGCUAGGGGAGCGAACGGG